AAAGUAGGGGAUCGCAAGACCUUACGCUUUUGGAGCGGCCGAUGUCUGAUUAGCUAGUUGGUGAGGUAAAGGCUUACCAAGGCUUCGAUCAGUAGCUGGUCUGAGAGGACGACCAGCCACACUGGGACUGAGACACGGCCCAGACUCCUACGGGAGGCAGCAGUGGGGAAUUUUGGACAAUGGGCGAAACCCUGAUCCAGCCAUGCCGCGUGAGUGAAGAAGGCCUUCGGGUUGUAAAGCUCUUUCAGCCGGAAAGAAACGGUUACGAUUAAUACCUGUAACUAAUGACGGUACCGAAAGAAGAAGCACCGGCUAACUACGUGCCAGCAGCCGCGGUAAUACGUAGGGUGCGAGCGUUAAUCGGAAUUACUGGGCGUAAAGGGUGCGCAGGUGGUUUUGUAAGUCAGAUGUGAAAUCCCCGGGCUUAACCUGGGAACUGCGUUUGAAACUACAAAGCUAG
rnacentral:rRNA from 1 species